AGUAUGAGUUAUCAAGGAUUUUUUAAAUUAGUAUAGUAGUACUAAUACUAGGAGGUAUAUGUAAUUGCAGUUUUAAUGAUGGGAAAGGUUUUUGAAAUAUUUUUAAAGAGGGUUUAAAGUAUUUUAAUAUUGUUGCAAAUUUAUAAAGUAUUGAUUUGUGGUUAUGUUGAUUAUUGGUAGGCGGAGAAUUCUCUUUGGCGACUUUUAACCUUAUCAAAGUGACCUCGAACUUUGUCUACACAAGGAUCUCUAGACAUGUCUGAUAGAGAAGAUAUUCGAGUAGAGAGCUAUACCAACCCGAUUGUGUUGAGCGAUGAUGAGAAUGAUGGAGAAUCUGAUUAUGAUUGUGAUAGUUUACUAACCUAAACUUGGAGAUGCAUAAUGUGUUGAAAGUUAGCAGUCCGGAUAAUGAUGAUAAGGUCAUUCGGGAGUUUGACUGUGCUGGGAGGAAAACUCGAAAGGAUAUCUACUAUGCCGUAAUGAGGAGUGUUUUUGGUGAGUCGAGGUUUUACUCUAACAGAUGAGGAUGAUGAUGACUUAGAGGAUGAUGACGACUUGGAGGAUGAUAAUGAUAAUGUAUCUCCUUAACUAUGUAUUUAUGCUUUAAGAAUAAUUGUUGGAUAAGCAGUCAAGCAAUGGUUUAAAUUUAUUUCUUUAGUACCU